AGAGUUUGAUCCUGGCUCAGGAUGAACGCUAGCGGCAGGCUUAACACAUGCAAGUCGAGGGGCAGCAUGAGACGGAGAUUCGUCGAAGUCUUGAUGGCGACCGGCGCAAGGGUGCGUAACGCGUGAGCAACUUGCCCGUUUCAGGGGGAUAACCGGUGGAAACGCCGACUAAUACCCCAUGGUGAUGUUAUGAGGCAUCUCAUUUCAUCUAAAGAGAUUCGGAAACGGAUAGGCUCGCGUGACAUUAGCUAGAUGGCGGGGUAACGGCCCACCAUGGCGACGAUGUCUAGGGGUUCUGAGAGGAAGGCCCCCCACACUGGAACUGAGACACGGUCCAGACUCCUACGGGAGGCAGCAGUGAGGAAUAUUGGUCAAUGGUCUGACGACUGAACCAGCCAUGCCGCGUGAAGGAAACGGCCCUAUGGGUCUUAAACUUCUUUUGUAAGGGAGCAAUAAGGUCUACGUGUAGACUGAUGAGAGUACCUUACGAAUAAGCAUCGGCUAACUCCGUGCCAGCAGCCGCGGU
rnacentral:rRNA from 1 species